UGCCGGCGACACCUGCGG
rnacentral:misc_RNA from 1 species